CGGGGCGUAGCGCAGUUGGCAGCGCGCACGCUUUGGGAGCGUGAGGUCGCCGGUUCAAAUCCGGCCGCCCCGA
rnacentral:tRNA from 4 species